GGCGAUGAUACUCAUUUUGUAUUUGUCCCAUUAGAUUUCUAUACAGAUAGCAGAUAGGUCUUGGACAGAAAAUCUAGAGAUUCCUGUAUUGGUAUUAGGAACCUAUCCUCAGCCCAUAGCCUACAAUGGUAUGUGACAAUUCUCACGUCACACGUCCGUCAUGAUGCUGGUAUAAAGAAGGUCGGUCCAACUAUUUCAGUGAUCACAUUUUCAGAGGGACUGUGGCUGCUGGUUGCGUCUGUGCUUGAAGUUCUAGCCAAAUCAUCAUAAGGAUGUCAAAAAUGAUGGUUGUUCAUCUCGGAGUGAUUGUGUUCGCUAUAUGUUUAUCGACACAGGUGGUCUCCCAAAACACCACAUCGGGCAACCCGCCCGGCGUAGGUUCCAGCGUCAACUCCACCAUGGUCACGGACACGUACAGCAGCUCGGCCAACUCCACCUCCCCUACCGGAGUGGGCAUGUCACUGCAGUCCAGCCACUUCUCCCUCCUGCUCCCCAUCGUCAUGGCGACCUGGCUCCUGCACUGCUUUUGUUGAACCCAUAACCCUUGAUCCACCCUCCUGUUACCACCACUCCCCUCAACCGCACUGAACCAAGACCACAAUCCUAACAUCCAGCAGCCAAAAUGGACUCCACAUCACCCACACCCACUCGUUCGCCCCCACAGAAAAAAGAAAAUCCUAGUGCUGACUUUUUUUUCUGGGGGGGGGACGUUAGUUGGAGAGGAAGCCGCCACCAUCAACCCCUCGCACCCCUCCCCUAUCUCGAAACCCCAUACGGAACCUCAACAUGGCUUCUUGCUCUGCCAACCCUCAAGACCUGCAUUUCCAUAGUAACACAACCAACAUCCUGGUUAUCAGUCUGGGGUAUUCUGGGGUAUGUAGGCCUAUAGGGAAGUGGUUGUCAUGUCAGGUCUCUUGAAAAAAAUGUGGACCACUUGUGUGUACAGAAGUUCUUAUUGUAGUUUUAAUUUCACCUGGGAAAUAAUUCUAAAUUAGUUUUGUAUGUGCCCUGCCCAAAGAGAAGGUUGCACAUAGAUUAUUAAAGAGAAACUCAAGCCUCUUUUAAUUAAACUAUUUUAAAUGGUCACGAUUUGGCACUUUUUGAGUUUUUUGUUAUUGGAAAUGUACCAGAAGAUGUGUUGUAUGUAGAGAUAAUAAGAUUGAUACUGGGCUUGUGUCGGUAUACCUUGUGAUUUAUAAAGAGUUUCUGGUCUUUUACAAGGAGGGUAUAACUGGCAUCUCUCCCUUUCGAUGCCUGGUUGGUCCUAACAAAAUGACUGUACUGUAACCAUGUGGGAAGGGUUGAUGUUAAAUUUAUAUACCCCCUUAUAGUUUAUAUUUUGUAUAAAUGGCAAUGUUACAAUGUUAGUUUUUGUUAAAUCUUCUGAAAUAAUGGGAAGGAAUGACAAUGUACAAUAAAUUAUACUUAAAAAUAUUUAUUUUGUAUGUUUUCUCCUUACUGUUUUAAAGGUAUUUCAUUGGUUGAUACUAUACUGUCACUGGAUGCAUUUUUUGUUUUGUUUUAAUUGAACUUUUACUUAACUGACUUGCAUAGUUAAAUGAAGGUUAAGAAAAAUUCUUAUUUACAAUGACGGCCUACCGGGGAACAGUGGGUUCUCUUGUUCAGGGGCAGAGCGACAGAUUUGUACCUUGUCAGUUCAGGAAUUGGAACCGGCAACCUUUCAGUUACUGGCCUAACGCUGUAACUAGACUACCUGCCGCCCCAAUGAGUUUGUAGGUUUAAGAUUUACUAUUUAGGUUUCUCUUUUGGUGGCUUAACUACUUUCACUACCUUUGAAAUGACAAACUACCAAAUCUUGUUUUAAGAAUCUAGCUUGGUUGUUUAUUGAUCCAGCCUUCUGAAACCGUCCUUCUUGGUCAAUGUCACCUGUACUUUGAUCUCUCAUCUCCUGGAAAUCCACAUCGAUCUCGGUCCAUAACAUAAUCCUAAUGUAGUUUGCUAUAGGAGUGCAGCAGACAGAUUAAUUGGUAUUGAGCUGCCAUAGAGUCUAGACGUACAGCAGCUGCUGAGCUUGCUGCAUGGGCCCGAGCUGGACUCAGCAUUUCAUGAUGCCCCCUAGAUCUCCUCUGGCUCUAGUCCAGUCACACACACACACACACACACACACACACACACACACACACACACACACACACACACACACACACACACACACACACACACACACACACACACACACACACACACACACACACACACACACACACACACACAACAAAGCUGUGACCUUCAUGUUCUACAGAUGUGAGGUUUAAACUCAGGUCCUAAACUUUUUCUCCUUUGAAAAAAAAUGCUGCAUUUCUCAGUCUUUAACGCAGCACUGAUUAUGUUUUUUCUUCACUUGCCAAGAGUUGGAGAGGAGGAUCCCCUAAAGGUGAAUGAUUUCAUAUUUGAUUAGGUAACUAGACCUGUCUCUCUGCUCUGAAGUCUACCCAACACUGUCUAGUCAUUGAUUUCAUGCUAGAAAGGAUGCCACUUCAUGGUUAGAUGUCAGACGAACAUCCAACGUCCAUUUGUAUGAGUUGUCAACAAAUAUGAAUUCUACUUGAAAUGAACCAACCUUUAAAACCCUAUUGCUGAUUUUUGUUUGAAAUCUAGGUUAAAAUUACACCCAAUAAAUGCUGCGAAUUCAAUCAACCAUUUAUGUUGUUGCAACAUGAUUCAAAUGUUGAUAGAGUUUCAUUAACCGACACAUCAAGUUAAAGACAAGAAAAAAAAUGAGUACGUUUUUUAUUUAUUUAAAUUAUAUUUUGGUUUGAUCUUCUUGUCCAGCCUCAUCACCCUGGUCUUUUCCAUUGAUUUGCUAUGUUAAUUUCAAAAACUUUGCCA
ensembl:lncRNA